rnacentral:lncRNA from 1 species
GGCUUGUCAUCGCUGAAGAACAUUGUCUCAACUGAAAUAGCUUAAAUCUUAUAAAGCUCCUUGCUGGUAACACGUUGUUUCACUUAUUUUGCAGGGUGAGGGAGCAUGACCAGCCCCGAAUGGGCCCCUGGGCAUUAGCCAUUCGCUUUUCUUUAGGAGAAAGAAGACUGCCGUCUGCUUGAGAGGCAAAGCCCUAGUACCGAAGAACGGUAGAUCUUCUGAAUUUCGAGGGCAGUGAAGUAGGAGCGUAGCAGAGGGCGUACGCAAGACAACACGUUGGAAGGAAGAUUGAUACAGACAAAAGCGACAUGAUUCAGGGCCACCACUAAGAUCUUUGGGGGUUUCCCAGAAGCGUGUGGUUGGGAACAUCAUGAAGGAAGAGACAGGAGCCGACCCGAGGAAGCGUGCGUGAGAAUAACGUGGAAGGAGCCCAUUGGUAGAUGCAGGAGGGCUGCUUUGGGAGGCCUGGAAACUGAGUUUUGGAAGGAUUCAGUAACGGACAACCACUCCGUGGGGCCUUUCUGUCCAGCGCGAGUCAGACCCUUCUCCACUGUCCAUGGUUUUCAAAGUCUUCCAUAUCGAGUGACCAGCCUAGAAAGCUCUUGCCAGCCGGUGAGCAUGGGGCUCCUUCCUCUUGGUGUUGGGUUCAAUCUCUUAAGUCCCUGACUUUGAGUCCUACCCUCCUAACCUGUUGAUGUUGGUAAGUUCUUUCCUUGCUACUAGGAGGAUCUCUGGGUUUAUGUGGCGUUUGUUCCAUUUUCUCCUUUCUCUGUGACCCCCUGACUCUCUCUCCUCUCUCCCCCAACACACACACACGCACACACACACACACACACACACCCCCUACAGGUUUGGAAAACUUGAGACUUCUUGUCUAUUCUGUAAUUGAGGUGACAGAGUCUCUUUUUAUAAUUAAUACGAAUCUCUUUUCUCUGAAUGACAACAGAGAGGCUUUAGGUGAGGAAGAGUGGCAGGUGCCUGUCUUGUAAGUCUGACCCCCUUGGAGCCAUAUAUUUUUCCUAGAAAAUGAGCAGUGGUUGCAUUGUACCUGGUAGAAGUGGG